rnacentral:rRNA from 1 species
AAAUAGAUACCCGGGUAGUCCACGCCGUAAACGAGUGUCGACUUGGAGGUUGUUCCCUUGAGGAGUGGCUUCCGGAGCUAACGCGUUAAGUCGACCGCCUGGGGAGUACGGCCGCAAGGUUAAAACUCAAAUGAAUUGACGGGGGCCCGCACAAGCGGUGGAGCAUGUGGUUUAAUUCGAUGCAACGCGAAGAACCUUACCUACUCUUGACAUCCAGAGAACUUAGCAGAGAUGCUUUGGUGCCUUCGGGAACUCUGAGACAGGUGCUGCAUGGCUGUCGUCAGCUCGUGUUGUGAAAUGUUGGGUUAAGUCCCGCAACGAGCGCAACCCUUAUCCUUUGUUGCCAGCGGUUCGGCCGGGAACUCAAAGGAGACUGCCAGUGAUAAACUGGAGGAAGGUGGGGAUGACGUCAAGUCAUCAUGGCCCUUACGAGUAGGGCUACACACGUGCUACAAUGGCGUAUCAAAGAGAAGCGACCUCGCGAGAGCAAGCGGACCUCAUAAAGUCGUCGUAGUCCGGAUUGGAGU